rnacentral:rRNA from 1 species
UACGUAGGGUGCAAGCGUUGUCCGGAGUUACUGGGCGUAAAGGGUGUGUAGGCGGUUGUUUAAGUUUGGUGUGAAAUCUCCCGGCUCAACUGGGAGGGUGCGCCGAAUACUGAAUGACUUGGAGUGCGGGAGAGGUGAGUGGAAUUCCUGGUGUAGCGGUGAAAUGCGUAGAUAUCAGGAGGAACACCGGUGGUGUAGACGGCUCACUGGACCGUAACUGACGCUGAGACACGAAAGCGUGGGUAGCAAACAGG